rnacentral:rRNA from 1 species
UACGUAGGGAGCAAGCGUUGUUCGGAUUUACUGGGCGUAAAGGGCGCGUAGGCGGCAUAUUAAGUCAGCUGUGAAAUCUCCGAGCUUAACUCGGAACUGUCAGCUGAUACUGAUGUGCUUGAGUGCGGAAGGGGCAAUCGGAAUUCUUGGUGUAGCGGUGAAAUGCGUAGAUAUCAAGAGGAACACCUGAGGUGAAGACGGGUUGCUGGGCCGACACUGACGCUGAGUGCGCGAAAGCCAGGGGAGCAAACGGG